rnacentral:rRNA from 1 species
UACGUAGGUGGCAAGCGUUGUCCGGAUUUACUGGGCGUAAAGAGCGCGCAGGCGGCCGAGUAAGUUUGAUGUGAAAGCCCACGGCUCAACCGUGGAGGGUCAUUGGAAACUGGGGAACUUGAGUGCAGAAGAGAAAAGCGGAAUUCCACGUGUAGCGGUGAAAUGCGUAGAGAUGUGGAGGAACACCAGUGGCGAAGGCGGCUUUUUGGUCUGUAACUGACGCUGAGGCGCGAAAGCGUGGGGAGCAAACAGG